AGAGCCUGCAUGUCGUACAUGGUGCUCAGAUGGUCCCAAAUCACUUUGGAAGAAAUCUGCCGUCCGAUAUUCUGACUGAAUUUAUCUCGGAUACAAAUCAUGUGAAAAUGGCGAUUCACACCUACGGGCUUGUGGCCCAACAUGGCGUGGAAGAGGCAAACCUCCACUUCGGGGCUCCACACCACCACCGCCUCCUCUGCCGGCACGCCGGGCUCCGGGGCGGAAGCAGCCGCCGCCGCGGCGGCCGCAACAGCAGCGGCGGCGGCAGCGACCGCCGCGGCGGUCCCGGGGCCGGCCGCGGGCAGCGGCGGUUUCUCCACAGCGGCGGCCGCGCCGCCCUCCGCCUCGCCCAUGGCCGCGCCGAGCCGUGCUGUGCCGUGCCGAGCCGUGCCGCCGCGCGGCGCCCUCUGCCGUUCCCCCGCAGCGGCUCCUGGCGGCCGGAGGGGCGGGCUGGGCGCGCUACCCGCCCUGUGCUGGAGGGGGGGCAGUUCUGAGGGGUUUCACCUCAGGUUUUCGCUCCAGCCGCUGCCAAAAGGGAGAUUUCACGCGGGGAAGGCACUGCGCGCCUCAGUAUCCCGAACUGCUCGUCACUGUUUCGGCGCUGUCAUUUUUUUUAGGAACUGUUGGUGCUCAAGGGGUAACUACACCUCAUGUUGGAAAAGUGCAGAACUCACCUCUUGUGCUCGUCACUUAAGGCAUGAAAGUGUUUCAUUU
rnacentral:lncRNA from 1 species